GUUGAUCCUGCGGGAGGUUGCUGCUAUUUGGGUUCGAUUAAGCCAUGCAAGUCUUCUAGCAAUAGAGGCAGAAUGCUCAGUAACACGUCGAUAACUUGCCCUUAAGUCUGGAAUAACCUCGGGAAACUGAGGCUAAGACCGGAUAGGAAAUUAGUUCUGGAAAGAUUUUUUUCUGAAAGGUAACGCUUAAGGAUAUUCGGCGGCGGAUUAGGCUGUUGGCGAGGUAACGGCUCACCAAACCUUAGAUCCGUACGGGCUCUGAGAGGAGUAGCCCGGAGAGGGGCACUAAGGUACAGGCCCCAGCCCUACGGGGUGCAGCAGGCGCGAAACCUUUACAAUGCACGCAAGUGUGAUAAGGGAACCCAAAGUGCUUAGUUAUACUAGGCUUUUGUUGAGUGUAGAUAACUUGACGAAUAAGCAGUGGGCAAGACUGGUGCCAGCCGCCGCGGUAACACCAGCUCUGCAAGUGGCAAUCCCAUUUAUUUGGCCUAAAGCGUCCGUAGCCGAUUAAGUAAAUCUCUUGUGAAAUUGUUCUGCUCAACAGAACAGCGUGCAGGAGACACUGCUUAGUUAGGGACCGGGAGGAGUCAGAUGUAUGCUUAGGGGAGCGGUAAAAUGUUAUAAUCCUAAGUAGACCACCUGUGGCGAAGGCGUCUGACUAGAACGGGUCCGACGGUGAGGGACGAAAGCCAAGGGAGCAAACCGGAUUAGAUACCCGAGUAGUCUUGGCUGUAAACUCUGCGAACUAGGUGUUGCAUAUUCUCCGUGAAUAUGCGGUGUCGAAGCGAAGGUGUUAAGUUCGCCGCCUGGGAAGUACGGUCGCAAGACUGAAACUAAAAGGAAUUGGCGGGGGAGCACUACAAGGGGUGCGGCGUGCGGUUUAAUCUAACUCCACGCAGAGAAUCUCACCAGAGGCGACGGCAAGAUGAAGGUCAGUCUGAAGGGCUUACCUGAUGAGCCGAGAGGUAGUGCAUGGCCGCCGUCAGCUCGUGCCGUAAGGUGUCCUGUUAAGUCAGGCAACGAGCGAGACCUGUAUCCACAAUUGCUAACGACUGAUUUUUAGAAUCGAGCACAUUGUGGGGACUGCCCUGGAAACAGGGAGGAAGGUGCAGGCAACGGUAGGUCUGUAUGCUCCGAAUCUUCUGGGCUACACGCGCGCAACAAUGGUGCAGACAAUGGGUUGCAACUCCGAAAGGAGAAGCUAAACCUCGAAACUGCAUCCAAGUCCGGAUUGAGGGCUGUAACUCGCCCUCAUGACGCUGGAAUCCCUAGUAAUCGGUCCUCAUCAUAGACCGGUGAAUAUGUCCCUGCUCCUUGCACACACCGCCCGUCAAACCACCCGAGUAGGGUCUAGAUGAGGCUUGGUUUUGAAUCAAGUCGAAUCUAAGCUUUGCGAGGAGGGUUAAGUCGUCACAAGGUA
rnacentral:rRNA from 1 species